AAAAAAAAAAAAAAAUUAAAACUUCAAUGAUAUAUACCUUAGUUGCAACUUACCAUCAGUGAUGUGCUCCUCACCUAACAUUGAAGCUUAUCCUUUCUGUGAUUCCCCCUUUGACAAAAAUAGAUAGAAGUCUUUACAAAUAAAAGUUACUAUUAUUUUAGAUAAGACAUUCAUUGACAAUCCAAAAUUAACAUAUUAUUUGGGAUUAUAUACUGCUGUGAUUAAAGGCCUCUUUUAGUUUUGGUAUAUACAACAACCACCAAGCCUUAUCUCACUAAGUGGGGUCGGCUAUAUGAAUCUUAGAACGCUAUUGCGCCAAGUCUUCCGUUGGCUCCAAAUACUCCAUAUAUUUUCUUAUACUCUCUAUAAGAGUCUUUCUGAGCCUUCCUCGAUUCUUUUUGUUCUGAGCCUGCAUCUCAUAGUCGAGUUUUGGUAUAUCAUUCCAAAAUCACCAUAAUAAUUUUUACCUCUGUGGUAAAUUUCAGGUGGAGUGACUUCCAUGGAUGAUUUCUUAAAGGAAUUCUUCCCAAAAAUUUACAG
rnacentral:lncRNA from 1 species